UUGUGAGCCUGAGAAACUCCCACCCAAACAACAAGUGGCCCUCAUGCAGGCAUAAAUCUUGGCAUCUGGCACACAGCCGUGUCCUGAGGCAGGCAGGCACAAGUACGUAAAUUUCAGCUGUAACAUUGGAGUCCAGGUGACUGUGUGGCAUGUCUGGGAGCUUGAGAGCAGCCAGGACUUUGCCCAUUUGCCUGAAGUAUGGGAGAACGCUGUCAUCUCUUUGUCUGUGUCCCUGUGCUUAAACAAGAGAACAUACCAUCUCACAUGCUGGACUCUGGAAGUACAAGAUGGAGGCGGCAACGGGGCUUCUUCCAAGGCUGGGAAGCAGCCUUCGGGUGCCAUUCUUUCUUGUGGGUUCAGAACUGCCUACACUAUGAGGAGCUCCUGGUACUACUUCUGACACCUCUACCGACAUCUUCCCACCAGCUGGAGAGUUGGGAACUCUUCACUUGGUGGUGUUCAGCCA
rnacentral:lncRNA from 1 species